UACGUAGGUAGCGAGCGUUGUCCGGAUUUACUGGGCGUAAAGAGCGCGCAGGCGGCUGGUCAAGUCCGAUGUGAAAGCUCCCGGCUUAACUGGGAAAUUGCAUCGGAAACUGAUCGGCUGGAAGGUGGGAGAGGGUAGCGGAAUUCCCGGUGUAGUGGUGAAAUGCGUAGAUAUCGGGAGGAACUCCAGUGGCGAAAGCGGCUACCUGGCCCAUUCUUGACGCUGAGGCGCGAAAGCUAGGGGAGCAAACGGG
rnacentral:rRNA from 1 species